rnacentral:rRNA from 1 species
CCCUUAGACGUUCUGGGCCGCACGCGCGCUACACCGACGAAGGCAACGAGCUUUCCUUUACCGAAAGGUACGGGUAAUCUUUUGAAACUUCGUCGUGCUGGGGAUAGAUCCUUGCAAUUUUUGAUCUUAAACGAGGAAUGCCUAGUAAGCGCAAGUCAUCAACUUGCGUUGAUUACGUCCCUGCCCUUUGUACACACCGCCCGUCGCUACUACCGAUUGAAUGGUUUAGUGAGGCCUUCGGAUCCGCGACUCGUUUGUGGAGAAGUUGGACAAACUCAGUCAUUUAGAGGAAGUAAAAGUCGUAACA